rnacentral:rRNA from 1 species
UACAGAGGUCUCAAGCGUUGUUCGGAUUCAUUGGGCGUAAAGGGUGCGUAGGCGGCGCGGUAAGUCGGGUGUGAAAUCUCGGAGCUUAACUCCGAAACUGCAUUCGAUACUGGCGUGCUUGAGGACUGGAGAGGAGACUGGAAUUCAUGGUGUAGCAGUGAAAUGCGUAGAGAUCAUGAGGAAGACCAGUGCGAAGGCGGGUCUCUGGACAGUUCCUGACACUGAGACACGAAGGCCAGGGGAGCAAACGGG